CCCUUAGAUGUUCUGGGCCGUACGCGCGCUACACUGAUGCAUUCAACGAGUCUAAAACCUGCUCUGAUAGGGGUGGGUAAUCUUUUGAAUGUGCAUCGUGAUUGGGAUAGAUGAUUGCAAUUUUUCAUCUUCAACGAGGAAUGCCUAGUAAACGCAAGUCAUCAGCUUGCAUUGAUUACGUCCCUGCCCUUUGUACACACCGCCCGUCGCUCCUACCGAUUGAAUGAUCCGAUGAAUAUCAUGGAUUGAGGAUGCAAGCAGGUUCGCCUGUCUUCAUCUUCGAGAAGUGAAGUAAAGCUUAUCAUUUAGAGGAAGGAGAAGUCGUAACA
rnacentral:rRNA from 1 species